rnacentral:rRNA from 1 species
CAAUAGCGUAUAUUUAAGUUGUUGCAGUUAAAAAGCUCGUAGUUGGAUUUCGGUUAAGAGCGACCGGUCCGCCGUUUGGUGUGCACUGGUUGGUUUUAACUUCCUGUAGAGGACGUGCUCUGGGUUUAACGACCUGGACUCGGAGUCUACGUGGUUACUUUGAAAAAAUUAGAGUGUUCAAAGCGGGCUUACGCUUGAAUAUUUCAGCAUGGAAUAACACUAUAGGGCUCCUGUCCUAUUUCGUUGGUCUCGGGACGGGAGUAAUGAUUAAGAGGAACAGUUGGGGGCAUUCGUAUUUCAUUGUCAGAGGUGAAAUUCUUGGAUUUAUGAAAGACGAACUUCUGCGAANGNAUUUGCNAAGGAUGUUUNCAUUA